UAUAGAUGGAUCCGCGCUGCAUUAGCUAGUUGGUAAGGUAACGGCUUACCAAGGCAACGAUGCAUAGCCGACCUGAGAGGGUGAUCGGCCACACUGGAACUGAGACACGGUCCAGACUCCUACGGGAGGCAGCAGUAGGGAAUCUUCCGCAAUGGGCGAAAGCCUGACGGAGCAACGCCGCGUGAGUGAUGAAGGUCUUCGGAUCGUAAAACUCUGUUAUUAGGGAAGAACAUAUGUGUAAGUAACUGUGCACAUCUUGACGGUACCUAAUCAGAAAGCCACGGCUAACUACGUGCC
rnacentral:rRNA from 1 species